GACGAACGCUGGCGGCGUGCUUAACACAUGCAAGUCGAACGGAAAGGCCCUGCUUUUGUGGGGUGCUCGAGUGGCGAACGGGUGAGUAACACGUGAGUAACCUGCCCUUGACUUUGGGAUAACUUCAGGAAACUGGGGCUAAUACCGGAUAGGAGCUCCUGCUGCAUGGUGGGGGUUGGAAAGUUUCGGCGGUUGGGGAUGGACUCGCGGCUUAUCAGCUUGUUGGUGGGGUAGUGGCUUACCAAGGCUUUGACGGGUAGCCGGCCUGAGAGGGUGACCGGCCACAUUGGGACUGAGAUACGACCCAGACUCCUACAGGAGGCAGCAGUGCUGAAUAUUUCACAAUGGGCGGAAGCCUGAUGCAGCAACGCCGCGUGCGGGAUGGCGGCCUUCGGGUUGUAAACCGCUUUCGCCUGUGACGAAGCGUGAGUGACGGUAAUGGGUAAAGAAGCACCGGCUAACUACGUG
rnacentral:rRNA from 1 species